AAUUUUUUAAGCGUGCCUGCUGUUGUGUUUACCUUUCAGUGAAAAAAUAAAUGAAAAAAAUGUUCCAAUAUUUAGAGUGUUUAGAGUGCUCUAGAGUGCCAAAUACGUUGCUCCGCGCCAUCAGUUCCUAUCUAAAUCGCUCCGGUACCAUGUGCCCACGUAGACGAAAAAAUCGUCUUUCCCCGGCAAUCGAAUCGAGGAUGUGUGGUAAAUUUCCGAUUGGAGAAUUCCUCAUUCAUUUGGAAUCAUAUGUGCAGAAUCAUCGAUAGAAGGAGAGUGGAAAUGACACAGGUAGAGUCGAAUGGCCACCUCCGACGGCAGCAACCUUAGCGACCUCGUAAUUGAUGGGGCAGCCUCCAGGAGCUUCCAUUGGCCCCGCAGGGAAAAGAUGUUCGGUGAUGCAAGUUGGAUGGAACAUUGAAAUGAAGUGUUUUCACAUGACAAAAUAAUGAACAGUAAUCACCUAACAAUCAAUUCGUACAUUCGUGAAAUAAACUAGUUAAAAAAGGCAAUUCCAA